rnacentral:rRNA from 1 species
GCGGCAGUUCGGGGGUCUGAUAACACAUGCAGUCGAACGAUGAACCUCCUUCGGGAGGGGAUUAGUGGCGAACGGGUGAGUAACACGUGGGCAAUCUGCCCUGCACUCUGGGACAAGCCCUGGAAACGGGGUCUAAUACCGGAUAUGACUCGGGAGGGCAUCCUUCCGGGUGGAAAGCUCCGGCGGUGCAGGAUGAGCCCGCGGCCUAUCAGCUUGUUGGUGGGGUGAUGGCCUACCAAGGCGACGACGGGUAGCCGGCCUGAGAGGGCGACCGGCCACACUGGGACUGAGACACGGCCCAGACUCCUACGGGAGGCAGCAGUGGGGAAUAUUGCACAAUGGGCGAAAGCCUGAUGCAGCGACGCCGCGUGAGGGAUGACGGCCUUCGGGUUGUAAACCUCUUUCAGCAGGGAAGAAGCGCAAGUGACGGUACCUGCAGAAGAAGCGCCGGCUAACUACGUGCCAGCAGCCGCGGUAAUACGUAGGGCGCAAGCGUUGUCCGGAAUUAUUGGGCGUAAAGAGCUCGUAGGCGGCUUGUCGCGUCGGAUGUGAAAGCUCGGGGCUUAACCCCGGGUCUGCAUUCGAUACGGGCAGGCUAGAGUGUGGUAGGGGAGAUCGGAAUUCCUGGUGUAGCGGUGAAAUGCGCAGAUAUCAGGAGGAACACCGGUGGCGAAGGCGGAUCUCUGGGCCAUUACUGACGCUGAGGAGCGAAAGCGUGGGGAGCGAACAGGAUUAGAUACCCUGGUAGUCCACGCCGUAAACGUUGGGAACUAGGUGUUGGCGACAUUCCACGUCGUCGUGCCGCAGCUAACGCAUUAAGUUCCCCGCCUGGGGAGUACGGCCGCAAGGCUAAAACUCAAAGGAAUUUGACGGGGGCCCGCACAGCAGCGGAGCAUGUGGCUUAAUUCGACGCAACGCGAAGAACCUUACCAAGGCUUGACAUAUAUCGGAAAGCGCUAGAGAUAGUGCCCCCCUUGUGGUCGGUAUACAGGUGGUGCAUGCUGUCGUCAGCUCGUGUCGUGAGAUGUGGGUAGUCCCGCACGAGCGCCACCAGGUCUGUGUUGCAGCAUGCCUUUCGGGUGAUGGGAACUCACAGAGACUGGCGGGUCACUCGAGAGGUGGACGACGUCAGUCAUCAUGCCUAAUGUCUUGCCGCCACAGGUUCCAAUGCGUCAAUUGACUGCAUGCCUUGAGGCAAGCAAUUCUCAAAAGACGU